rnacentral:rRNA from 1 species
GACGAACGCUGGCGGCGUGCUUAACACAUGCAAGUCGAACGGAAAGGCCCUGCUUUUGUGGGGUGCUCGAGUGGCGAACGGGUGAGUAACACGUGAGUAACCUGCCCUUGACUUUGGGAUAACUUCAGGAAACUGGGGCUAAUACCGGAUAGGAGCUCCUGCUGCAUGGGGGGGGAUGGAAAGUUUCGGCGGUUGUGGAUGGACUCGCGGCUUAUCAGCUUGUUGGUGGGGUAGUGGCUGCCCAAGGCUUUGACGGGUAGCCGGCCUGAGAGGGUGACCGGCCACCUUGGGACUGCGAUACGGCCCAGUCUCCUACGGGAGGCAGCAGUGGGGAAUCUUGCGCAAUGGGCCGGAGCCUGAUGCAGCAACGCCGCGUGCGUGAUGACCGCCUUCGGGUUGUGAACCGCUUUCGCCUGUGACGAAGCGUGAGUGACGGUAAUGGGUAAAGAAGCACCGGCUAACUACGUG